UUAGAGUUUGAUCCUGGCUCAAGAUGAACGCUAGCGGCAGGCCUAAUACAUGCAAGUCGAACGGGAGGCCCCCUCGGGGGCCUAGAGUGGCGCACGGGUGCGUAAAGCGUAUGCAACCAACCCCCGACAGGGAGAUAGCCGGUGGAAACGCCGGGUAACCCCCCAUAAUCCCCAAGGAGGGCCUCCUUCCUGGGGUAAAGCUACGGCGGUCGGGGACGGGCAUGCAUCCCAUUAAGAGGUAGGCGGGGUCACGGACCACCUAGCCUACGAUGGGUAGGGGAUCUGAGAGGACGGUCCCCCACACUGGUACUGAGACACGGACCAAACUCCUACGGGAGGCACCAAUAAGGGAUAUUGGAGCCAUGGGGGCGACACUGACCCAGCCAUGCCGCGUGAGGGAAUGAGGCCCUACGGUUCGUGAACCUCUUUUGCCUGGGGAUAACGGCGUCCACGCGAUGGACGCGUGCAGGUACCAUGCGAAUAAUCAUCUGCUAACUCCGAGCCAGCAGCCGCGGUAAUACUGUGGAUGCUAGCGUUAUCCUGAUUACUUGCUGUUUAAAGGGUGCGCAGGCGGCCUGACAAGUCAGCGGUGAAAGCCGGGGGCCACUCCUCCGAAGUGCCGUUGAUACUGUCGGACUGGAAUGUCCGCCAGGCGGGGCGGAAAUGUGCCGUGUAGCGCUGAAAUGCAUAAUAUAUGCUCCUGAACUCCGAUAACAAAGGCAGCUCUCCAGGGCUGGCUUGACGCUCGGUAAAAUAAGCGUGGGGAUCGAACAGGAUUAGGAUACCCUGGUAGUACACGCCGUAAACGAUGGACGCUCGUCGUCGGCGACAGACAGUCGGCGGCCAAGCGAAAGUGAUAAGCGUCCCACCUGGGGAGUACGGUCGCAAGGCUGAAACUCAAAGGAAAUGACGGGGGCCCGCACAAGCGGUGGAGCAUGUGGUUUAAUUCGAUGAUACGCGAGGAACCUUACCCGGGCUAGAACAGAGGGGGAACGGAGCGGAGACGCCGAGGUCCUACGGGACCCCCACCGAGGUGCUGCAUGGUUGUCGUCAGCUCGUGCCGUGAGGUGUCGGGUCAAGUCCCAUAACGAGCGCAACCCCUUCCCGCAGUUGCCACCGGUCCGGCCGGGCACUCUGCGGGGACUGCCCGCGCAAGCGGAGAGGAAGGCGGGGAUGACGUCAAAUCAGCACGGCCCUUACGUCCGGGGCGACACACGUGCUACAAUGGCCGGCACAGGGGGCAGCCACGCGGCGACGCGGAGCGAAUCCCGAAAGCCGGUCUCAGUCCGGAUCGGAGUCUGCAACCCGACUCCGUGAAGCGGGAAUCGCUAGUAAUCGCGCAUCAGCCAUGGCGCGGGGAAUACGUUCCCGGGCCUUGUACACACCCCCCGUCA
rnacentral:rRNA from 1 species